UACGUAGGGUGCAAGCGUUUGUCCGGAAUUAUUGGGCGUAAAGAGCUCGUAGGCGGUUUGUCACGUCUGCUGUGAAAACUGGAGGCUCAACCUCCAGCCUGCAGUGGGUACGGACAGACUAGAGUGCGGUAGGGGAGAUUGGAAUUCCUGGUGUAGCGGUGGAAUGCGCAGAUAUCAGGAGGAACACCGAUGGCGAAGGCAGAUCUCUGGGCCGUAACUGACGCUGAGGAGCGAAAGCAUGGGGAGCGAACAGG
rnacentral:rRNA from 1 species